rnacentral:lncRNA from 1 species
CCCCAGCCUCCAUCUCUCCCCUAUGCUGGAUGCUUCCAGCCCUCAAACAUUGGAUUCCAAGGUCUUCAGUUUUGGAAGUCAGACUGGCUCUCCUUGCUCCUCAGCCUGCAGACGGCCUAUUGUGGGACUUUGUGAUCACCUGGAACAUCAGUCUUUACUUGUUCUUCGACUGGGAUUUACACCAUUGGUUUACCAGAUUCUUGGAUUUUCAAACUUAGACUAAAUUACACCAUCAGCUCUUCUGGGUCUCCAACUUGCAGAUCAUGAGACUUCUCAUCUUCCAUAAUUAUGGUCAUGCUCUGUUGCCCAGGCUGGAGUGCAGUGACACAAACAUGGUUCACAACAGCCUUGACGACCUGGGCUCAAGUGAUUCUCCUACCUCAGCCGCCUGAGUAGCUGGGCCCACAGGUGCACGCCAUCAUGUAUAGCUAAUUUUUUAUUGUUGGUAGAGAUGGGGUAUCACCCUGUUGCCCAGGCUGAAGUAACUCUCGUAUAACAUCCUGACUAAAAUACCCCAAUGGUUUGUUGUGAUGUCCAUUCUCCUUCACUGCAAUAAAUAAUAAACCCACCUUGCUCAAAUACA